rnacentral:rRNA from 1 species
ACUCAAAUGAAUUGACGGGGGCCCGCACAAGCAGUGGAUUAUGUGGUUUAAUUCGAAGCAACGCGAAGAACCUUACCAGGUCUUGACAUCGUGCGCAUAGCUUAGAGAUAAGUGAAGCCCUUCGGGGCGCACAGACAGGUGGUGCAUGGUUGUCGUCAGCUCGUGUCGUGAGAUGUUGGGUUAAGUCCCGCAACGAGCGCAACCCUUACUGUUAGUUGCUACGCAAGAGCACUCUAACGGGACUGCCGUUGACAAAACGGAGGAAGGUGGGGAUGACGUCAAAUCAUCAUGCCCCUUAUGACCUGGGCUACACACGUAAUACAAUGGCGGCUAACAAUGGGCUGCGACAUCGCGAGGUGAAGCGAAUCCCCAAAAGCCGUCUCAGUUCGGAUUGCAGGCUGCAACUCGCCUGCAUGAAGUCGGAAUUGCUAGUAAUCGCGGAUCAGCAUGCCGCGGUGAAUACGUUCCCGGGCCUUGUACACACCGCCCGU